UACGAGUUGUGCCAGGGUCCAGCAUGGGGCUGCUGGGGGGGGCACAAGAGGUCAGGGGAGGCUGUUUGGGGGUUCAGGGCUUCAGCCCUCCCCCCUAGUGCCAGUGCCUGCAGCUGGCAGUGCUGGGCCAGCAGCCAGGGGUGCUCCUGCCUCAGCCCCUGGGCCUGGCCCCACAGUGCCUGCUCCUCGUGCUGGGCCUUCUGCAGAGCUGUGCAGAGAGGUUGCGGAGGUGUCAGAACCCCCCAGAGCCACAGCCCCCCCCGAGCCCCACAGCCUCCCCCCUGGGCAGCCUGAGCCCAGGGCUCCCUCCCGCCCCUCCGGCGCCGAGCGCAAGGGGGCGCAGGUGCGGCAAGGCCCCGCCCAGAGCUGGCAGCCAGAGCCAAUGGGAGGCGUGGGCAGAGCGGCCCCGCCCCCAAGGGCGCUGUGGGCUCCGGCCCCAGGGGCGUGAGCGCCAUUUUGGCUGGUGCUGGGCAGCGUCGUGGGAGCGCUGGAGCAGAGGCUGUGGUGUGCGCGGGCAGCGCUGCGUUGCAGGAGAGUUGCUUUGGCCUGCAGCUGUGCCUCAGAGUUUGUGAUGCUCAAGAGGCAGCUGUGCAGUAGCUGGUGCAGGAACUGAGCUGAACUGGAAGGCUGCAGGCCAGAAGAUGCAGGACUCUGCCCUUGUCCUUGUUGAACUUCACCUGGUUCCUCUGUGCCCAGCUCUCAGUCUGCCCAGGUCUCUCCUGAUGACAGCACAGCCUGCAGCUGUCUCAGCCAAGCCUCCCAGCUUGGUGUCAGCAGCAAACUUGCUGAGCAGCCUCUGUCUGUCUGUGCCCUCAUCAGUGUCAUUGAUGAAGAUGUUGACCAGGACUGUCCCCAGCACUGAUCCCUGUGGGACACCACUGGUCACAACUCUCCAGCUGAUCCUGGCACCAUUGCUCACCACCCUCUGCACUCUCUGUUGCAACCAGUUCCUAACCCACCUCACUGCCUGCUCUUCCAUCCCACACUGCCUCAGCUCGCUCACUAAAAUGUCAUGGGAGAUGGUGUCAAAGGCCUUGCUAAGGCCAAGGCAGACUCCAUCCACUGCUCUCCCUGAAUCUACCCAUUCAGUGAUGGCAUCAUAGAAUGCUCUGAGGUUAGUGAAGCAUGACUGCCCCUUGGUAAAUCCAUGCUGACUACUCCUGAUAAGCUUCUUCUCUCCCAAGAGCCUUGAGUUGACCUCCAGCAGGAGCUGCUCCAUCAUUUUUGCAGGGCUGGAGGUGAGGCUGCCUGGUCUGUAGUUUCCUGGAACUUCUUUCUUGCCCUUUUUGAAGCCUGCAGUGCCAUUGGCUCUGGUGCAGCCCUCAGGCACCUCUCCUGUCUGCCCUGAUUUGGCAAAGACGAUGGAGAGUGUCAGAGCAAUAACAUCAGGCAGUUGUCUCAGCACCCUUGGGUGCAUCUCAUCAGGGCCCUUGGACUUGUGAAUGUUUAGUUUGUAUAACUGAUCCCUAACCCAGUGUGCACUGACCAGUGGGGAGCACUCCCUCCUGCAGGCUUGCUCUCCUUCAUCCAGACUCUGGAGUCCAUAGGAGAGUUCAGUCUGAGGUGUAAAGAGUGAAGCCCAGAAGGCAUUCAGCAGCUCUGCCUUCUCUGCACCCUCAGUUCUCAGGCUGCCUCCUGGUCCAGCACUUCCCCCACACCUUCCCUGUUCUUCCUUUUCCUGCUGAUGGAUUUGAAGAAGCCUUUCUUGUUCUGUUUUCCUUCCUUUGCCAGCUUCAGUUGCAAGAGGGCUUUGGCCUUCCUUGCUGCUUUGCUACACAGCCCAAGGCAGGCCUGUAGGAAAGCAGUCCUCCUGCAGCUGCUCUGUUUCCUCCUCUGCCUCUCCCUGGAGGCUGCAUUUAGAAGCAUGGAACCAUAGAAUGGUUUGGGUUGGAAGGGACCUGCAGAGGUCAUUGAGUCCAAGCCCCUGCAGUCAGCAGGGACAUCCUGCAUUAGAUCAGGCUGCCCAGAGCCCUGUUGAGCCUCACCUUGAAUACAUCCAGGGCUGGGACCUCAACUCCUUCAUUGGGCACCCUGAGGUGUUGCAGCAGCCUCCUGAUGCAGAACUUGUU